rnacentral:lncRNA from 1 species
UAGCCAAUAGAAUACACAUGACUUUAUGUUUUAUACUCUAUACUCAAGUAUAAAGUUGCUAAUCUCAAGCAUACUACUCUACCCAUAUGCUAUGAAUUUGAGCCUGAAUAGAGAUUUUGAAAUAUUUACAUGCCUGACAGGAGAAGUUUUGAUUUGUCCAUCAUAGACAUCAAGCGGCCGAUAGAUUCAUUAAAACCAAAACUUUAUUAUGACCAUGCAUAUAUUAUUGGUCAUACCACACAUGAUAAUGUGUGUCGUCUUACUGCAUUAUUACAUAUAUAGAUAGAGAGAGAUGGAUAGAGGAGAUUUCCCAAAUAUCAUGAAUCAGUAGUAGGGCGGAAUGGCAGCGGAGACGCCACAGGGGUUGGUGCGGUAGCUGGGCAGCUGGUACUGGUAGAGUCCACCCAUGGCCGGCAUGUUCUGCGCCAUCAUCAUGGCCAUGGGGUUGAGACCCUGGGCUGCCAGCAGCUGCUGCUGCUGCUGCAUCAGAGCUGGCUCGUACAGGCUGCUGCUGGCGGCAGCGGCACGCUCAAGCUGCAUCAUCAUCUGCAGCUGCUGCGCGACGGACUGCACGUCCAUCAUCCUCAUCUGCUGCUGGCAGCACUGUUGCCGGAGCGGCUGGAACAUGGCGCUCGGCUGCCCACACCCGGCGUAGUAGGGCGCCGCCGCCAGCGGGCUGCACUGCGGCUGCCUCAGGUACUCCGCGUAGGGGUACAGCCCGCCGGCGCCCAUCAUCGUCGUCAGGCCGGCGCCAGCGCCGUACAAGCCCUGCAGCCCCGCGCAGGGGCAGGGCAUCUGCAUUGCAGAGGCGCUGGCAGCUGACAGAGCCAGGCACACGACGAGAACGAUGACCAUCUUCAUGCUGUUCUGUUCGACGAUCCUCUCUACGCACUGCCGCUUUGCUGAUCUGGAUUGGAUGAUGAUAGAGACUAGUUCAUAUGUGGGAGCUAGCCAUUUAUAGAUGAUCCAUGGCUUGCAUUCUGCAGCAUCUUGCAACCCAUGGUUUUGGAAUGUUGCGUUGCAUGACGUGGAAACAUAGUACAUGGAUUUGGAUUUACAGAUAGAUCAUUAAGCUUUCUUAUACAUAUGAAUCAACUUUAC